UGGGGAAUAUUGCACAAUGGGGGAAACCCUGAUGCAGCGACGCCGCGUGAACGAAGAAGGUAUUCGUAUCGUAAAGUUCUGUCCUAUGGGAAGAAAAUGACAGUACCAUAGAAGAAAGCUCCGGCUAAAUACGUGCCAGCAGCCGCGGUAAUACGUAUGGAGCGAGCGUUGUCCGGAAUUAUUGGGCGUAAAGGGUACGCAGGCGGUUUAAUAAGUCGAAUGUUAAAGAUCGGGGCUCAACCCCGCAAAGCAUUGGAAACUGAUAAACUUGAGUAGUGGAGAGGAAAGUGGAAUUCCUAGUGUAGUGGUGAAAUACGUAGAUAUUAGGAGGAAUACCAGUAGCGAAGGCGACUUUCUGGACACAAACUGACGCUGAGGUACGAAAGCGUGGGGAGCAAACAGG
rnacentral:rRNA from 1 species